UCCCUCGAAGUCUACCUCCUGUUGCCUUAGCGACAUCAGCCUGGCCAGGGUUAAAUGGAUUCAUUCUUUCUCAGUAGGAAGCCCCCACAUUUCCUUUUCCCACCCUCUGUCUUGUGCUCCGUUCUGAAUCGGGCCCCUGGCUUCUCAGCAGACAUUGCUGAGAUCAUCAGAUUCUGUUAGGGAGAAGGGCCUGCACGCCCUGCCUUCUGAUAUCUGUCGGGGUGUCACAGAGGGUCCAGCAAAGGAGGCUAAGAGAUUGAGCAGAGUGUUUCAGUCUUCCCUCUUAUUUCGGUCUGUGCCAAGCUUUGGACUGGAUACUUCUAGGAUAAUCAAGAAAACUUUGACCUCACGUGACAUUAUUCAUCGAGAUGUUGCCAUUUAUCUCUAAGAUAUAAUCAGCCAACGAUGUCCUAGAACCACUUUCCUUCCUUAAUCGGGCAUCACGGCUAGGUGGGCGCACAAAUACUGAUGUACAGUGGUCCAUCAUGCGGCCUUUCCAGUGACAAAAACAAUUUGAAUGAUAAUUUUUGCUCAUCGAAUAAUUUGUUGGAAGCUUCUAAAUCCUCUAGAAGUUUACCCACAAAGAUCUAAAAUAUCCUUUGUUGCCUAAAGAAGGAUCCUAGGGGGCUCUCGUUCGCUGUUUGCAUGACGCCGCUUUGCUGAUGACCUAUGGAAGAUGUGUUUGCCUUGCCAGCAUCUGGCUACCUGGCAGACUGCAAAGGCCGCUGGGAAAGAAACCAGUUUCUUCUGGAUCUUCCACAUAAUUAGCCUGUUUAUAGGCCAUCUGGGUGGCUUUGAUUUCACUAUCGCCAUUUCUUUCUUUCUGAAGAAUUUCAGUGUGUCUCAUCCUUAGGGACCAAGAUCAUUAAUAAGCCCUUCCUUAGUCGGGGUCACUAGCUCCUUUAAUGUGCCUGGCAGUUCUCUGUCCCCCUGGUUCCAUCUCAUUAUGAAGCACCCUACAGACCAAAGGAGGGCAGUGUUUAUAUUUGAGAAUGCUGUCAUCAAAUUAACAGGCCUCAUUAGAAGGAAAUUACAGAUUUGGGGCUCCCUAAUAGAAGAGGUUUUUAGAAACCCUCAUCCAAAGAAUCGCAAAGGGCACUUAAAGAGAACUAUGGCAGGGAGGGCUGCAUUUUCACCAGGACAGCUCCAAUGGGGGAGAUACGCUGAACUGUCAGCCCUGGGCUAACCCAACAGCGCUGGGGGGCCUCUUCACCCGGCUUGAAUACCUUCAGGUCUCCCUCAGUCACCCGUCACCAUGUGGACCCAUGAGGUCACACUGACAUUAUGAAAUAAAUGCAAAUGAACCGCCCUCACCUGCAAGCCUACGUACAUGUCAGCCCUUUUUUCAGGAGCACACAGCACUCCCAACGUCCAUCAACAAAAGGAUUAGCAUCCACCUCCAAGGGGCCACGUCCUCCUGCAUCCUCCUGCGCACCAGCGCUGGGCCCGGAGACCCCAAGGGCCCAUCUCCCUAAACCUGGACUCUGCUGGUCUGAGUUUCCACUGCGUUAUUAACAUCUUCUCGUUUCAUAUCCUGCCUGUCCCUGAAGCCAGCAAGACUCUCAACCCUCUUAGUGUGACCUCAGCUCUACUUUUAGGUAAAAAGCAUAAAAACUGACCCCCCUACUCCUAUGUCACCUCCUGUUUAAAGGGUCUAAUGAGGUGGCCUUAAUAUUUAUGGCACCUGGAGCAAAAGUACAAGUGGAAACUGCCUUUCCAGCUCAAAACUUACUCUCCACUCUUUCCCUCUGUUCCUGUCUGUAAGUGACCUCAGACACGUGCCUGUGGACACCUUAGUGCAAACAUGCAGGUCAGUUAAAAAGAAAUCUUCUUCUCCUUCGAAGAAGAGCUUGUGCCACAUCGCAGGGGACACAUCACGAGGUAGAGGCUGCCUUCAAGAAAAGGACCCGACAAACUGGCUUAGGCAAGAGCCCUAGAUGUGCUGACUGGGAAUUCUGGGUUUUUAAGGGCUCAAGGGCCUCUACUUGCUAGAUGAUUCUAAUCUCGUUUCAAGCCUAGAGGGGACACUGACUUACAGUAACAUAGCAGUGACACCUAAUCACUGGCUGAGUUUGGUUGCAAAUGUCACAUGCAACAUAAUGGGCAUUUGGGGGGAAGCAGUGACCUGUGCCUCCACGGGAUAAACAGAUGCAGGGAGAACUGCUCUGGAGGAAACAGGCCAAGAAUAAAGGUGCUACGUGCCCUCCUCCCUUCAUUUAUUUAUGUACUUAUUCAUUUGUAUUGCAAAUACCUACCGCAUGUCCCAGGCCUUAGAGAUUUCGACAUAAAGACAGCUAAGGUCUCUGCUCACAAAGAGCUUGUGGUCACUUUCUUAAACCCUAGCGUUCCACAAGACACAUUUUGAAAAACCCCAGCUACCAAAGAAGAAAGAACUUGGGCAUCGAUGUUAGAUCAGGUCCGAGUUUCUGCCUCUGCCACUUGGCAGCCGCCAGCUACGGGAUUCGAGGACAAGGGAAAAGUCAGUCAUGUUCAUUGCGCAGGAGGCGGUGAGAACUCUGCCACCAGUUAGCACGUGUAGGCUUCCUUGGAUGCUGCUUCUCUCCCCUUCCUCCCUAGUUGGUGGGAUAUAUAUAUAUAUUCCUGGGACCAACAGACUUCUGUGCAGAAUAAGUGACCAAUCAGGAUGGAGUUUUACUCUGGACCAAACAGAGGUUGCUGCCUAUGUGGAAUUCAUUCAUCUCUGCUACAAAUAAUAAAAUAUGCACAUCUAUGGGAAAUUGACAGUGAGGGAACACUGUCACACUUACUCCUCAUAGUAAGCUGACCUCAGUAUCUAGCUUGUUAUUUACAUGUCCCCGUAACAGAUCUUUUUAUCGUUAUUAACCCAAUAGCUGCUCAGUAAUUACUCUGUGUCAGGGAUGAUUUUCAGCACUUUUACAAAUAAUAACUGAUUUAAUCCUUAUUAUGCAGAGAUGGGAAAUCCAAGCCUCGGAGGUCUGGUCAUUCAUCCAAGGUCUGUGGCUAGUAGAGGUUUUAGUGUUUAUACCCCUAAACCAUCCACUGUGAGCCUCCACUUAUCACCCUUCUCAUGCUGUUCUUUUUAUGAGAAAGUUCUUUCUCCUCUUCAGUUAUUAAAUCCUGCUUAUCCCCCAGCCUAUAUCAAAUCUUACUGAGUGUGUGUAAAUUGGCUGCUGUAGGGCCAUAGAAACAAUUGUGCUUGCAUCAGAUGGCAUUAAAAAUUGUAUUGAGUCAAAAUCUUAAAAUCACAAUAUUUCACCUCAUGAUCCUGAUUUCUAAAGCCUUUUGAAAACUCGGAUCCAAGAGUCAUCAGUUCUGGAGCAGGGGUUUGCAUGCUCCAGCAGCUGUACCAAAGCAGCACGUUUUUGUAAAUAAAGUUUUACUGGAACAAAGCCACAUCCAAACAGUCAACGGCUGCUCUCAUGAGCAGGAAGUCAUACAGUGGAGUUGCAGCAGUGUUUCACAGUCACGAGUCAUGACAGAGAGUAUGGCUGAUCAGUCUGAGGUAUUUACCCUCCAGCACUUUCCAGGAAAAGUUUGCUGACCCCUGAGCUAAACCCAGAAGCAACUGCCCACCCUCCCAUUCAGGUGGGGCUUCCCAGGUGGACAGACCACCCCCCCUUGCCUGCCUGGCCCCUGAAGACAUGCCCAUGUCUCCUGUGUUUACAAAUUUCUAGAACCUUCUCACUCCCUCUCGGCUAGCUCCCGCUCCUUUAACCAAGUAGGUCCCCAGUUCGACUGUCAAUCAAACCAGCCACAUGUACUUGCCCUACUUUAGCUGCAGAAAUGUUUUAUCCUUGUUUAAAGUUUGUUUCUUUUGUCUCCCCGGGGCAGGAACUCACCCCCCCUUCAUUAUAUACCCCCAAGGCCUGAUGCUGAGAGGAUGAAAUAAUAGACACAUAGUAAAUAUUUUUAUUUGACUAAUUGUUGUCAACCUGAUGCCGCCCUAACCUAAGCAGAGAGUAAAGAAUAUACUAAAAUAGAUAUUUUGCUUCAGGAAGAAAACCUCCGGGGAAGAUGCGCCUUUCCUGUCUGACAGCUAGAGAAGUUCCCUGUGUCCCCUACUCAUUCACCCGCUCUCUGCGGGCAAAGGCGGGAGGCUCAGGAGAGGCUGCCAUCCACCUCCAAGAAGUCCUCCAGGAUGGCGGCCUCAAUAGCUCAGUCUUGGGGGCUCCACAUCCUGGGGCAAGCUCCUAUUACCUCAGCUCCCAAAAACACAGGUAUAUAAAACAGACUGUGCAAUAAGAACUAGAACAGCCAAGAAGCCUCACAGAUACCAUGUGAUAUCACUUACAUGCAGAAUCUAAAAUAUGGCACAGAUGAACCUAUUGAUAAAACAGAAACAGAAGCACAGACAGAGAGAAAAGACUUGUGGUUGCCCAGGGGGAGGGGAGAGGAAACGGGACAGACCGGGAGUUUGACGUUAGCAAACUCUCCAAUUUAGAAUGGACAAGCAAUGAGAUCCGGCUGUAGAGCACAGGGAACCGUGUCCAGCCUCCUGGGACAGAACAUAACAGGGGAUGCUGUGAGAAAAAGAAGGUAUAUAUACGGAUGGCUAGAUUACUCUGCUGUACAGCAGAAACUGGUACAUUGUGAGUCAAUAUACCUCAAACAAACAAUUAACUAAUUUAAAAUUAGAUUAAUUUUAAUUAUCAGCUAUUAUUUGUAAGUUAAUAAUCACUUAAUAAUGUAAUAAUAUUAAUUAUUUAUGAACGAUCAUUUAUAUAAUAAUUACUAUUAAUUUUAAAAAGAACUAGAACACCCAAGGAGCCUGGACUCUCAAGCCUUUGGGUUAAUGUAUUUUUUUUCUCUCUAGACAAGGAAAACAGGACUAAAGUGAAAGGAGGUGGUUAGAUGAUUGGCGUGUCCAUUUCCAUCCAUUUCUAAGAGGCCAGAGCACUUGGGUUGGUGAAGUCACUUCCCCUGGCCGGAGUCCCUUCCUUCCGUGGUACGUUAAUGAUUCCUGCCUCCGAUGCCAUUUCUAGGAUUUCAUUACUAAACAAACAUCUUUCCAAGUGACAUAUUCCUUCUCUGUAAUAUUUACUUCCCAGCAUCCAUGUUUUGCUUAGGCCUGGGAACCUAGUCUUCCUUUAACAGGACUGUCUAUGUCUGCUAGGAUUUGUUACAUGCUGCUCCAUCUCAGAGGUAGUAUCGUAUCUUCAAGAUAAGGAAAGAAAAGGGAAGGUGUCAGCCCAGAGUUGUCCCAAGUACCAGCUAGAUGCCUGGAGAGGGGCAAGGUGUGGACAGCUCACCAGGGCAGGAAUUCUCAGCUCUAAACGGAAAGCCAAAGAGGGGUAGGAAUGUAGGACCCUAUGGGGACCCUAGGUCCCAGCAAGCCCCAUAUCCUCUGCUGUAGCUCUUCUCUGAGGUACCUGGAUCACAGCACCUGAGGCACUUUUCCCGAGUUGUUUCACAAGUGUGAAAAUCCCCUCUCACCAAAUGGAAGAUGCUAACUACUGGAUGACAGCAGCUCAUAGCCUCCAGGCCUUCUGGGGCCUAAAGACUGAUCCUGUUAAUCCCUGGCACACGGCCCUGUUACCUCACCAUCAGCCGGUCAGAGAACUGUGCAUGAACUGGUAGCUUAACCUGCAACCC
rnacentral:lncRNA from 1 species